CCUACGGGAGGCUGCAGUGAGGAAUAUUGGUCAAUGGUCGCGGGGCUGAACCAGCCAAGCCGCGUGAGGGAUGACGGUCCUAUGGAUCGUAAACCUCUUUUGUCAGGGAGCAAAGCGCGCCACGCGUGCCCUUUUGCGUGUACCUGAAGAAAAAGCAUCGGCUAACUCCGUGCCAGCAGCCGCGGUAAUACGGAGGAUGCGAGCGUUAUCCGGAUUUAUUGGGUUUAAAGGGUGCGCAGGCGGUCUGUUAAGUCAGCGGUAAAAUCGCGGGGCUCAACCCCGGCGCGCCGUUGAAACUGGCAGUCUUGAGUGAGCGAGAAGUAUGCGGAAUGCGCGGUGUAGCGGUGAAAUGCAUAGAUAUCGCGCAGAACUCCGAUUGCGAAGGCAGCAUGCCGGCUCUAAACUGACGCUGAGGCACGAAAGCGUGGGUAUCGAACAGGAUUAGAUACCCGGGUAGUC
rnacentral:rRNA from 1 species